UGUUUGAAAGUGUGGCUCAGUCAGUAGAACACGAGACUCUUAAUCUUAUGGUCGUGGGUUUGAGCCCCACAUUGGGCAA